rnacentral:lncRNA from 1 species
GGUACUUGCUGGACAGACUGCUGCCACGCCGGCUGGCUAGGUCGCUCUGCAAGAACAUGAUAUCAUGAAGAAUAUGGAGAAAAUUCAGGACUGUAAGAUGGUGGAAACAGGAAGUAGUCUCAAGAAAUACCAAUGGAGGUGAUGAAGCUAGCUGAGAUAGGAUUCAAGAUGAUGGUAAUGGUUGUGGAAGAAGUGACAGUGAAGAUAACGGAGCACUGGUGGUAGGAGUCACGAGGGGAGUGGGAGCAGUGGACCAGUGAUGACAGAUGUGAUGUAACCACUCAAGGUUGGCUGGUCUCAGGCUAGAGUUUGCUCCCCACUAACGACUCACAGAAGCCAGGAAAUGACCACCUGUGAGAUUAUCAUCUUGUGUCCUUGCCAUGAACUGACUGUUUAUGUGCCUCCCAAAUCCACGUGGCAAGUCUUACCCUCUAGUGCUAUGAUAUGAUGAGGCUGGGUCUCGAGGAAGGAAUUUGGUCACAAUGGCAGAGCUCCAAGGAAGGAAAUGAGUAUCUUUCUCAAGAGAGAGAAUCUCUUUCUCCUGGCCAAGUGAGGAUGCAGAAAAGACCACCCUCUGCCAUGCAGGAAGAAGAAGCCCCUGUAGUGGCAUCUUGUUCCAUCAAUAGACUUGAGGUAAUAACCACACCUUAGGGUGUGGCUUCAGAGUGUGUGAGUGUGACCCCUUAUAAGGAGGAGGGGCUGGCUUGUUCUCUCUUGGGUUGUGGAUGGAGCAUCCUGAAGGGCAGAGACUGCAUCUCCAGGAGGAGAAGACCUCGACGGUUAUUUAACCACCAUUGUGUGCAUGUUUCCC